rfam:Piscirickettsia sp. Y2 scaffold00001, whole genome shotgun sequence.
GGCCGGAUAGCUCAGUUGGUAGAGCAGAGGAUUGAAAAUCCUCGUGUCGGCGGUUCGAUUCCGCCUCCGGCCA